GUGAGUGAAAGUCUUCUCAAAGAAAGCAAUGUGCUUCAACUAGGGCCGGUGUAAAUGGAGCGGACUUACAAGAUGUCACGCACAGAGAAGCAUACGGAAAUUUACAAUCCCAAUAUAUCACAUUUUAAAGAAAACAAAACAAAACAAAAGAAGAUCUUGAACUGGUAUGUGUGUGCUCUUGGGCACCAUUCUUUUGCAAGCUAGUUUACAAACGCAAGUUCUACCAUGAAUUUGUAUUAGUAGUCUUAUAUGUUUCUCAAUACAUUCGACAUAUCACAAAGGAGCAAGCAAACACCCCUUCUCCAUCCAGAUAAAAGAUUGAUUACAACAAAAGGCAUGCUUUUCCGACUGAUUUGUGCAACUAUGUUACAACUACCUAAAGACAUGGUGUGCAAAGUGUGCUUAAAUUGUCUUAACUUCCUCCAAUACCCCGCCCAAAUGCUAAAGUCCUGGCCUUUUCUCAAUCAGCUUCACAAAGCAAAGCAACCUUGGCCUUUUUUAGUACAUCAAUUAACGCCUUAAGCUGCAUUGCUUUUGGGGAGAGGUGGCCUCCAGUAAAGGGGACCCCGAACAAUCCAGUCAAACUUUGCGUUAUGUGUCGUACAUUGCAUAUCUUCAGCAAUUCAAGGGAAAAUUCUACAUCCCAUUACCCAACUCACCAUCCAUAUCUAUCUCGUCAUUUAGCCCUGUGGAAAUCUCUUAUUGCUACCUCAAGAUUUACCUCCGCAAGCAAUAGCUUAGCCUUUAGCCGCUUUGUUUUAAUCUCCAAAGCAUCUAUAUCCUCUCUCAGUCUUUUCCGUUGCCCUACCCUUCCCACAAAAUUCUUCAUACCUAAAGCGCUAUGAACAUGGUGCUAAAAUAUUAAAAUUAUGAGAGAAUAUUUGUUUGUGGGAAUUUUCUGUGUAUUCUUUUCCUUGUAGGAGGUCAUAUUUAUAAUAUAAUGAAACCUGAAUGGGCAAGUAAAUAAUAAAUUCCUAAAUCUAUUUAGAGUAGGAAAUCAGGAAUUAAAGUAAAUCAAUUACAAUUAUAAUAGGAAUUCUUGGUGUGUAAGGAAAGUAAGUCAAUAUCCACAAGUCACGCCAACACUCCCCCUCACGUUGGUGCAUAGAUGUCGCCAAUGCCCAACUGAUCCAGUGAAUUGUGGAAUGCUUUACUGGAAAUCGCCUUUGUCAAAAUAUCCGCCAAUUGAUCCUCGGAUUUCACAAAAUGCGCAAUCUGGUCCAUGCGUCGGGGUCGUUAGUCGAGAAGUCAUAAUCUGUGCAGCGGAAGAUGCAUAGGAUACAGUUGAGUAGGAAUUGGGAUCGGAAUAUGAGCCUGAGUCGAGGCCGGAGUCAGAGUUGAAAUCGGGAUCAGGGUCUGAAUCAGAGCCAAAUUCGGGGUUGGGGUCAUCAUUGGAGUGGGGGUCGAUGUCGUCUUCGGAGUCGGAGUCGGGGUCGGGGUCGAGGUCGUCUUCGGAGUCGGGGUCGGGGUCGUCUUCGGAGUCGGGGUCGGGGUCGUCUUCGGAGUCAGGGUCGGGGUCGUUGUCGUUAUAGUCGGAGUCGGGGUCGGGGUCGUCAAAAGAGGAUCCUGAUUCUGGAUUAGGUUCGGGGUAAAAGUCUGCAUCUGUAGGAGCAGAGCCAUCUGGGCACUCAACUCAACGAUGGUUGGUGGAGAAUGAGAGAAUGAGUCGGUGGUGCUACCUCUAUGAGGGUUGAAAAAAUCAUCAACCCCCAUAACACUAAAUAAAAUAAUCUCUAUUACAAUAUGACAAAAUAUAAUUGGUAAGUAACCAAAAUUCUAAUGAAAUAAGGACUCGCCAACACUCCCCCUCAAGUUGGGCAAAGAUAUUUCGCAGGCCCAACUUGACAACCACGAGUGAAACAAGUGACAAACUAAAAACAAAGUUCACAGCGGAAACACAAGAGCAAACCCUAAAAAAUAGGGCACAUAGCAAAACACAGAAACCCUGUGAGCACGGGUGUAGAUAAGGCAGAACACAGAAACCCUGUGAGCACGGCAGUAGGUAAGGCAGAACACAGAAACUGUGUGAGCACAGCAAUUGAUAAGGCAGAACACAGAAACCCUGUGAGCACGGCAAUAGGUAAGGCAGAACACCGAAAUCCCAUGAGCACGGCAGUGGCAACAAUAAAUUCUUCCAUAUAAACUUUAGCUAAUUCACUCAGACACAACUUCUCUUCAAUCUUCCUCUCCCCUUGAAGAGAAGGGGUCGUCGGAGUCAAGAAAUAAGCAACAUCUUCAUGGAAAUAUGUCAAGGUAAUUGGGAUAGGUCAAUAAACAUAUCCCUUUCACUCCCCCUCCCCCCCCUCUCAAGGGGGGAGAAGAGCACUUAAAUUUCAAGAAGAACACAAGCACAGGUCCCUAGAUCGAACCUGGCUCUGAUACCAUGCUAAAAUAUUAAAACUAUGAGAGAAUAUUUGUUUGUGGGAAUUUUCUGUGUAUUCUUUUCCUUGUAGGAGGUCAUAUUUAUAAUACAAUGAAACCUGAAUGGGCAAGUAAAUAAUAAAUUCCUAAAUCUAUUUAGAGUAGGAAAUCAGGAAUUAAAGUAAAUCAAUUACAAUUAUAAUAGGAAUUCUUGGUGUGUAAGGAAAGUAAGUCAAUAUCCACAAGUCACGCCAACACAUGGGGCCCCAGCCAAGCCAAGUCAAACCUGAAGGUCUCAAGCUCCUCCCAUAAAAGUUUUAGGUGCUCAGAGACACCAUCUGUCAUAUCCUUGACCUUUUCUGUACUCUUUAAAAAAUGCAGGAGUUGGCCUGAAGCUGUGAAUGCCCACUCAGUUGACAUGUGACGGCUCUUCUUUUGGAAUUCUAUUAAAGAAGGAUGCCAGGAACAAACUUCAUCAGGCAGCGGAGCAAAAGCUUUUUCUGUUUUACACUUAAACCCCAGAAAACCAUGAGCUCCCCAGCUGGUGUGGACGACACAUGUUCCAUGACAAUGGGAGGAUUAGCAGGGCUAUCAGUGCAAGCCUUCUCCGAACUUGGUUCCUCCUGGAAGGCAGACACCUUCUCACAACAUGGUGCCUUAUUUGCUGCUGAUCAAUCUGGAACUUUUAGAGGAUUAGAUUUGAAGGUCCCUGCUCGUCGUGCUUCUACGAGUUUUUUGUUCUUCUAAAAUCUUAAUUUCAGACUUAUGGACUGCAACCUUGGCUUCAAUGAUACAUGUGUCAUUCACAACAUAUCCUUUACAAUGGUCACAAAACUCACUUAGAGGAAUUAAUGAUGUGAAGCCCGAGUUACUGUCACUUUUAUUGAACACAUGUUCAGUAUCUGCAAAGUCCAAAUAUUAAGGAUCACAAAACAGGUGAAGAAAUAACAACAAAGGAAGCCCAUUCCAAAGCUUUAAAUUUGAUGAUAUAUGAACUCAAUUAAGUUUUCAAAGGCCAACCAAACCCAUAAAAAAAUAUACAUAUAUAUGGAAAAAUUCAAGAUCUGGAUCCAUUUUGCAGUACGUGACAGAGGCAGGCAACAUGAGAGAGAGAGAGAGAUGCUCCAGUAAGUACUUAAAUAAGUAACUAAAAUAACUAGUUAGUCCUAAAGUAUUAGAUCCAAGAUUAAAAGACUUCCACGGUCCGCAUUGUCAAGACUCGAGAUCAAGACACUCCAAUCUGAAUUGUUUUAAUCCGGACUGCAGAAAGAGAUCUGAUGAUCAAUUAUUAGCUGUUUAUUUUACUUAUUUAACAAAUACACGCACAUAUUUAUAUUCCAAAAAGAACGUUUUAUAUAGCGAACCUAGGGUACAUAAUUCAGCUGACAUUAGGGGGCCAGAUUACCCAAAUCAAUGCCUAUAAGAUUUUGUUUGUUCUAUACCUUAAAUAGGAAAUUAAACUGUCAUCCUUAAAUAAGUGCUCAUUCUUAAAUAAACAAAGUUGCAUAUUUCCUUUCCUUUAUCGACUUUCAGUAUCUUGUGCGGUAAAAAAUUAAAGUAUAGAGACGCCAGUAAGGUAUCGAUGCAUAAUCAUAAACAUAAUCAUCAUUUGCAGUAAGUGUGAGACAGAAUCAAACCAAAAUAUCCAUAACAGGACGCAACAAGCACCAGUUCCCUGUAAUAAGUUAGCUUUUCCCUAGAAGUUAUAAAAUAACAUGGAAACCGACAAAAACGAAGAUAAAUGUGAAAUAGGCAACAAGAACAUAAAACAAAGUACCCUUUGUUAAAGACUCGCUGCUUUGAAGUUGAUUAACGAUGGUCAAGCUGAAUCGCGCAUAUCUAGCCCACCCUAAUGGCAAUGUUGAAGAACCUGUAACAUCCAGAUAAACCGACAAGUAGUCUACAUUGUUCCCCCUUGGAUACAUAAGGAUUCGCCUGACCAAACCAAACAAGGCAAGUAAAAAACCAGAACAUAUCACAAUUUAAAGAAAUAUAUUAGCUUGUGAAUGGUAGGAGAUACUCAAAAAUACCAUUCAAAAACACCGAUGACGAAGACAUCAGAGUAAUGCUUGACAGCAUCCAACUUAGAGAAGUUGUCAACUUUCCAUGUGAAUAUAACAGAUGCAAGAUCUUCCAUGUGAAUAUCCACUUCCUCCAAUUUCUUUAUUUUUCUACAAAGUACAAACCCAAAACCCACAAAUAAGAAAAUAGCAUGCCACAAUCACACCAAACAUCACACAAAAUAAACUAGUAUAGAAGACCCAUAACUUAAUUUGUUUGUUUUGGUUACAUAGUGACCAAGGCCCAAAAACACAAGUCAGCAACCCACAACACACCUGUAUUCUAUGACAGAGGGAGGAAGAAACCUGGGUUGAGCAACCCUAGAGAUAUCCUGAACUAAAAAAGGCUCACAGAGAGGUGGAGGAACAUCAAAAUAAUGGCACCCCAGCUCCAUAGUCAGCCCAAAAUUAGCUAGACAAUCAGCUACACUGUUUUGCUGCCAAUACGCAUGAUUCAGAGAACAACUCCAGCUUUGGUUAAGGAGAUUCUGGCAGCUCUUGAUCAAGUUAAACUGAGGGUGUUUCCAAUUAACCUCAACUGGGUUAUGCAUAAGCUUCAAAACAGUGGUUGAGUCAGUUUCCACCUCAAUUGGGGCCAACCCAGAUUUCCAAGCAAGCUCCAAGCCUCUGUAUAAGGCCCAAAGCUCUGCUUCAAUAACUUUGCCUGUUCCCAAAUUUGCAGCAAACCCAGAUAACCAUUCUCCUUCUUGAUUUCUGAUCACACCACCUCCUGCAAUGCACCCAGAUCCACUGCGGUAGCUCCCAUCCACGUUGAGCUUGUACCAGCCAUGGUGGGGAAAGCUCCAGCACAACAACACCUGCUCCUUCUUAACCUUAUUAUACUUUUUCUUUCUGUUCAGUGUACAUAGAAGAAGACCCACAAAUUUCAAAGUGGUUUAAUUUAUCGUUGUGGUUAUGGUUUGAAAAAAGAAAUUAACAAGAUUGAUAUGAAGAAAUAAAGGUCAAGCUUUGAAGAAUUAAAGCCACUGGUCGGAAGACUUACCUUCCCAUCGAAGAUUCCAACAACUCAGAGGCAGACUCAGAGACUCUGCUGCUCUAAUUUUUUUUAAUUCUCACGGCUUAUAAAAUAACUACUAACUGAGCUCGUUUAGAACUUAGUUAUGACCACACUUGCAUUUGAUUUGAAAUUUUUCUGUGUCUACCACAAAAUUAUGUUUGAUAUGAAUGGUUAUAAUAUUUGUUGUAAACUUCUUACUUUAUAAAGAAGAUAUGGGAAAAUGACCCACUAGUGUAGUAGUUUAGAGUAUUUACCUCCUCAAGUAAGGUCCUGAGUUCGAGUCCUAGCAUCCGUGUUGUGUGUGUAAAUUUAAUAUGUUUUCGCCCCUUUUAAUAGGAAAGGUCCUCAAAAAAAAAAAAAAAAGAGAUGGAUAUCAUAUAUUUUAUUGAGGUUAACUUUGUCAUUUGUAUGAUUUUUUUUUUUUACAAUAAAAUUAUUAAUUUUUGAGCAAACAAUCAAUGGAAAUGAGUUUUUUAAAAAACAAACUGAAACCUUAGAGAGUGUUUGUGAAAUUUUUGAGACCUGAGAGGGUUUUUUGAAAACACAAGAAAUCACAAGGGAUGUUAGUGUAAAUAACUCUUCAAAUUUUUCAUUGUCUUCAUCAUCUUGAUAUUAUCGAUAUUAUAGAGAUAUUUUGACCAAAUGUUGCUGAAAUGUGAGAGAAAUUAUCGAUGUCGAUAUUUUCCGAUAUUAUUGAUUAUCUAUACGAUAUAUGUCUAUAUUCCAAAAUAUGCCCUGAAAAAACGAUAAUAUCAUUAAUAUUUCGUCAAUAUUAUCAAUAUUUUAGACUAUGGUUGUACUUAUAUCAUAUGCCAAGUUCUACCCUUGUUAUUAGUUUGUAUAUCUCCUGAGCAAUUGGGGAAGUGCCCCUUGCCAUGUUUUCUCCACAAUAAAUUUUGUAGAUGAGAGAGGAAUUUUGUAGAUAAGUUCGAUUAAUUUGUUAGAAGUUUAAAAGGAAAGAAAAUGGGAAAUUAAAUUUUCUAUUUAUCUUGCCAUUGAUUUACCUUGUCACAAAUCCAAGAAUAUAUGGCUUCACUUCAGGUUUAAUAAUAUAAGCAUUGAUAGUGUGAUACAAAAUAGCCAUUGCAAAGCUCAAAUGAAAAGUCAAGCAAUGUGAAAGCCAGCAGAGAAAUCAUAUUUAUCUUAUACAUAUAAUUGGAUCAAACACAACAUAAAUUCAUUUAUCUUAGUUGUUCCUUUCCCUGGUGUUAUGGAUGCCUAAAUAUCUACAUUAAACCAGGACUGGAAAUCCACAUGAACAUAAUGACUUUAGUAAAACAAAAACAAAAACACCAUAUCAUUAUUGUAAAUCAAUUCUUAUAAAGAAAAACAGCAAUGAACAGGAAAAGUGAUCUUAGAGAUCCCCAAACUUAUGGACCUUGAGUCAAUUCUCCAAUCAACAUUCUUGUAUCCAAUGGCAAAUCCACCAACUUCCAGUAACUCAUCAGAAGUUCAAGCUCAGGUGUGUCUCUCAAGUUGCUCCAAAGAUAAAAGAAUGCAGGGUUUUCUCAAUUUAAGCACAAAGCAACGUGCACGGGUAGUCAAUUGAAAACACUCAAAAACUUAAAUUACAAGCUAAUAAGACCAAAAGUACAACCACAACAACAAAAACGCCUGAUUUCUUAGUGUACUUCACAUUGCAGUUCUCGGGGAAAAUUAAUCAAGAGACAGAAAAGCUAGCAUCAUGAACUCAAUGUACAUACGGAAAGGUUUGUGAUCAUUCUUUUUGUACAGCUGCGUCUGUGUCGGAAAAGUAGUCAUGCCUGGAAGGUGAUUAAAAGCACGAAAGGAAAAAAAAAAGAAGUCAAACUCAACCUGUCAAUAAACUUGUGCGCAUGUUUUGAUACUUUUCAACAAAACCAUCUUUAUCCAUCCAAAACAAUAAAUUGCUACUUUGCACCAAAGAUGAACACUUAAGUCCCAAAUCGUAUAUUGAACAUAUGAGUAUAUACUGGAUUCCAACUUACGUUAUUUUGCGUGACAAUUGAGCCAAGCCUGUCCCAGCCAUUGCAACAUUAACACUAAAAAGAUUCCAGUUUUUCUGCAAUUUCAGAAUAAUCUCAUGAGAGCUUCGCAAUAAGCUGCAAGUAAGUUAAGUAUCAAAGAAUAAUUUUUCUUAAGUAGCAUGAACAUUUAUCUGAUGCAAUUACAAAUGCCACCAUGUGGCAAAUCAUAUAGAACUGAAAUAGUUAUAUACAGCCAAUCAACCAGACAAAAGCACUACUUCUUGUGUAAUUAUAUAGGUCAGUCAUUAUGUAAUUCAACCAGCUUCAAUAAAGUACGGUGAAAAAAUUAACCAGCCAAGCAGCACUGUUAGAAGGCAAAAGAAAUGCACAGAAAGGUCCAGACACCAUCAAUUCAAAAUGAAGUGUCCAGAAUAAGUGUUAAGGUAGCCCAAUAAAAAACAAUUCCCAGAAAUCCUAUUCCUAAAAUCCAAUGCAAUGAAAAACAGGCUAUAUAAAAAGAGAGACUUGCUCAAUGAGCAGCUGCUAUGUGUCUUCCAUCAUAAUAUGAUGGAAAAUCAAGGGCACCUGUUUCCUAGGUGCAGUGUCCAUCAAAGACUGGUUGAUGAGUAGCUGCUAGAAGUUGGAAAUAGACUCGAAUUGGCUGGUGGACUUGCCAAUACAGAGCUUUAAGACAAUGUACUUAACUUUUCUGGAUUUAGCACAUAUGCAAAAUAUGGAAGGAGAAAAUUGAAAGAAUAUAUAUGCAAGUAAAUCUAAAACUGAGGAGCAAAUACUUCAUGCAGUAAAUGAAGCGGCUAGAAUACACAAUGCAGGUUGGAAGGGUCUAACAGAUUCUCCUCCAGAGAGAAGAAUCUGCACUUAUAGGUAACUAGCUAUUUGGACAAGAUUAAAUCCUCUUUUUUCUUCAUCAUGGCCUUACAAUGCACAAAGAUGAUAAUUUUGUGAUGUUAGUGGUCGUGUAGCAGGUUUUGCAGCUUAUGAUGCAACUAUUAUAAGUUUGUUGGAACUACUUUAUAAAAAGCAAUAAGUGUUGGACCCUAACAUCUUUCAGAGCCAGAAAACAAACAUACCGGAGUAAUCACCAUACUGUAACGAGACCAAAUAAGCCCAGUGCACGUAACAGCUGCAAAACAAUAUUUCAGGUAUGAUAUAUACCAUAAUUCUAAACAAAGACAUAGACAGCUGAAAACCUGUAUUCCCAAAAGGUGCAUACCUAUUUGCUGAGGAUAAGAGAUAUUUUCAGGUGGCUUUGAGAAAUCAGCAAUAUUUGCUAUGCUAAUGCCCCAUUUAAAAGUUGGAGCCCAAAAGUGAACUGCAUUAUCAUGAGACACUCUUAAUCUACGAGUCACUAAAAUAACAUGGCAGGUUCCGGCACGACACAAAACAACUCAAUAGCCCCACCUAAACACCUAAUUAUCAUGAUUCAUGACAAAUUUUGAGACUUGUAUUGUUGGUUAGAGCAGAGACUUGAGUUCUUGAGAUUGAAUAAAUUAUUUAUCUCGUACAAAAAUGUUUUAGGCAUUAGGCUAACAAGUUAGAUCCACUAUUUUUCUUACUCAUGAAAUUAACACCAAUCCUGUCAGUUAUGCCGGUCAGUAUAGGAGGUGGCGUUUUCUACAGUAAACAUGAUUAAAGAAUGAUUGCACAAUUAAAUGGAAAAUCAAUGGAAGAAUUCAUCAUGCACUGAAGAUUUUGUGUGCAAUUGCAAUUGAACAGAAAUUUUAGAUUAAAAUUUUCUACAUUUUCUAAUGUUCCCUCCUAAAUUCCUGGCUGGUUCUGUAACCAAAAUGAAGUGCAUCAAAAUUGAUCAUCUCCGCAUAUUUUAAUGAAUAGAAAAUAAAAAAUUGAUAAUUCCGUUGUCAAAACCUGAUUGUCUGCAUGGAUUAGCCAAAACCCAGAUGCCAAAAUUCAAUCUUUUACAGGAUCGAAUCUAAUACAGUAUAAUAAAGUUCAAAACUCUUAAAACCGUAUAAGAACAAUUAUAGAAUGUUGAAGGAAAACAUAAAAAGAAAAAUGAAGAUAACAAACUGGUUUUAGGGCCUGCUGGGUGGUUCCAGAAAGCUUGGACCUUUGAAGCUGCCAUGGGAGAUCGGUUUCUAUCUGUCUGGCUCUGUCUUUGUGAGUUUUGGGAAAACAGGGUGAAGUUUAGCUCACCACAUCGUGCCACCUACUUCGGGACCUCACCGACCGAGUACAAGGUUCUAGGCUUGUGCCCAUGUUUGGAAAAUUCUUUUAUCAGGUUGUACAUAUAGAUUUUUUAAGUUUAUUUUGUACUAGAGGAAUAUUUUUUAAUCAGGCACCAUAUAGUUUUUUUUUUUUUUUUUUUUUUUUUCAGAGACAUUUUUUUUCAUAAUAAUUUUUUGAUAUUAUUCGUUUUAUUAGUCUCUGAACUUAUACCCAAUUUACAUUUGAGUCCCUCUUUUUCUUUACUUUUAUACUCAAGUUUUUUCCAGGCGUGCCGUGCCCAAUUGGCAACAUUGGUUUGCUCAACAACAUGGCGCUAUAUAACAACUGUUUACCCUAAAAUUCCUUUGUGUUAGUGUGGAAAAGUAUAUUGCAAUUGCAAAGUAGUAAAAAAUAAAAGGAAGUGUAAGUACUUAAAAACAAAAAGGACAUAUAGCAUGGAACACCCAAUUAGCGAAGAAGAUUGCAAUUGCUAUUAGUUUCAAUUGCCUUCACAAUGAGCUGAAACUAAAUAAAGAAGAUUGUAAUUCUGUUUAGUUCAUCAGUCUAUUAUCUCAGUCUAGCUUUAAGAGAGAGAGGAAAGGGUAUAAAUAAAGCUGAAACUAAAAUUUAUUUGAAAUUGUAUUUUAAAAGCAGUUUUUUAUAUUACAAACCAAUGUGAUUUAUGUUAUGUUCCCUAACUUCUAUAAUCUCUUUUCUCACAUUUUUAUCCAUUUUCUUCUCCAUCUUUAGUAAAAUAAAACAAGAAAGUUUCCAAACAGACCAUACUCUUUUAACAGAAAAGUAUGAGGCUUAUUGAUUCAUCUGAAAAUGAUCUCAGACCAAACAAAAAUAGGGUGUCCUUGUUUUUUGUAGGUAAAAAUAGGGGUAUAUGAUUCAUCUUUUUCACUUACCAUCAACAAGAAAAGACAGUGUCGCAUGCUAUUAUAGACGAUGAAUGUGCAGCUGGGAGAGCAGCUACUUCUGAACUUUCUAACUUCAACUAGCUGACUGGUUUACUACUGGCUUUCAACCCUUAGAGAAAAGUGUGCUAAUACCUUGCCUACUAAACUCCUAUUGUCAUGCUACCAAGCAUUCUCUCUUUCCUCGCCUAAGGGUGCACUAAGAAAGAUUGCUAUAACGACAAAAGGAAAUAGUAUAUACACCCAUAAAUCGUAGACUUGCCCUCGCCUACCUGCACUGACUACCUCGCCUUACGAAAAACAUUUGUAAUUCCACCCUCAAUUACUUUUUCCUUCAGCAACGAACAUUUCAGUCUAAAUAUUUUUUCAACAUCAAAACACAUAUAUUAGUUAUAAGAAAUCCCCAAAUGGAUAAGACAAAGAGAGGGAAAGAGCAUGAAACCAUUCUAUCACAGACAGGAGCCCGAGCAUGUUAGCGCUAUGGACAACUAGCCUUGCACAAGAGAUAGGAAAUAAGCAAACUAGGACCGAUGGGAAGGAACUCGCUUGCUACCCUUUGACUGACUUGCUUUCCUCCAUGAUUGGCUUUCUUUCCUGGAAUGACUUCCCGAAGGAAAAGACUUAAUGCUUAAAACAAGGCAUAUGAAUAUGUUAUCCCAAUAGUCACGAUAUUCAUCGCCUUUGUUAGGAAUAGCAGGUAAUCUCAUAUCAAGAUAACGAUUGGCAGGCUAGACAAGUAUUGAAUUAACACAGGAAUGAAGAAGUAACGCAAGGGAGCUGUUGAGAUUGUACGAAUAGGUAUGUCAUUCGUGGUUCCAUAUGCAAUGUUUAUAUACGAAGGGACAUAGAAGGAGGUGCUAGUAAUAUAAUGCAAAGAGGGACUUUAGUCUCAUAUUCAUGUCGUUGUUAUUGAAUGUACCCUCGUCGCAAUUAAAUCCAGCCAUUGAGUACAUAGAAGCUCUGGCUCUUGCCGCUGCUUCGCUAAGUAUACGAUUUGGAGCUCUUGGGUUCAUGACUGGUGCUACUGCUAUUGAACCAUCUCCUUGAAGGCCAAAUGCCACAUCAGUAAGAGAAGUGGGCAAAAAAGAUGCUCUCCCAACUGGUACCGGUGGUGGUGUCAUAGAAUUUCUCUAGAAUUUCUAUGAUAGCAUGGAAAAUGAUAGGAUAAUUGCAUUGUGUUAAAGCUAUGAUAAGAUCAAAGAGUUCCAGAAAUGGAAAUUAUGAACUUUUUUGUUGUUUUGGUUGAAUUGUCGAGCAAAAUAAAUAAUUGUGUUUGUUGAUUUUAUUGAUCUGUCCAAAUGAAAAUUACUCAUGAUCCACUUUUUUGUGUGGAGACACUCCAAUGGAGAUUUACAAAAGCUGAAAAUUGAUAUUUCAUGAAGUAAAGCAUUAGUUCCAAUUACAUUACUGUAAAAAAAAUAUAUAUAUAUACAAAAAUGCACAACAUUAUACAAGGACAUGAAUUGGUCAGUCUAUUAUGACCAUUGAGAGCAUAGAAACGACCAACACACAUCAUCAAUCUUGUUGCCUUUAGCUUUAGUAGUUGUAUUGUAGUUGCGGCAACUCUACAUAGAAGACUACUUGUUACAACCCUCUCAACCGCAAGCAGUAGUUCUCUUCCUAAUAUUGGAUAAAAUCACAAGUUUGAAUAUCUCCUCCCUCGUUAAUGAAAGAAGAAAAAUACAUUUUAUCUAAAAAUCAAGAUAACAUUAAGAUAGUGGAAAUCUAUAGAAAUUGUGAGAAAAUGAGACUAAGAGAGUGGAAGAGUACAAAGAGAGAAUGAGGAGCAAUGAAGGUUUUGAGGUAGAGGUGUCAAAUGACACGUCCUGGCCCAUUUAAAUUCAUGCCACUAAGUUAUUUGGGCUGGGCUAGGUCGACUUAUUUAAUUAAUCGGGUCAUGCCGUCUUAGCCUAUUUAUCAAAACCAUUGAUCCUGUCCCGGCUCAAGCCCAAGUCCACACAGAACUAGGCCAUGCUCGAGGUUGGCCCAUGCUUGGCUCAUUUAACUUGAAUAUAUUUUGUUUUCCUUUAAUUUCUUGAAAAAAAAAAUACUCAAGUUAGCAUAUUAAAUUUAUACAAAAAAAAAAUUAUAACAUAUUAAUACCUUUCUUAUAUGUAAUAUGAGACUAAAAAUUGAAGGUUUAUUGUAGUAUUUAUUUAUUGAGGAUUUAAUAUGGGACUAAAAAUUGAGGAUUUAUUGUAGUAUUUAUUUAAUAUGAAAAUUUAUGAUUUGUUGGAAGAAGAAGCCACCAAAUUAAACUAAAUAUAUGUAGAUAUCGAGGGGAGGCUAAAAUAUGAUUUAUGUAAUGUGAGCCUUGAAAAAUAAUACAAAUUUAAGUGGGACUGGACUUGAAGCGGGUUCGAGCCAUGCAUUGCCCAUGCUUUCAAUAAUCAUACUUGAGCCAUGUUGCAUUCCCAUUUAAACAGAUUAGGCUCGUGUCGUACUGAGCCAAUCUGACCCAUUUAACACAUCCGAGGCCAACGAGGCAAGCCGACGAUUUGGGCCCACAGUGCAUGAAAUCUACUAAACCAUUAGCCCAAACCUAGUUCAUCCAUUUGAAAGGUAUGAGUAAAAGUCCAAAAUAACUUACCUAUAUUAUGUUGUAUACUUCUCUCUUUCUCUAUUCAUCAUAUGAUUAGAGAAAUAGAGAUGAGUACACAAAUUGGUAGACUAAAUGAAAAGAUAGACAUUGAGCUUGACGCUCUCUUCCAAUAUCUCUUGUAUCAAAAAAUCAAAACUAAGAAAAUAAUUAAGAUAAUGAGGGCAUGAAAGAAAGUAAUGGACCAAUAUAAUGUGAGAAUCAGAUAGUCUUGGAAGGGGAACUCAAGAGGUUAAUAAUGUUUGUUAACUCUCGGAAGAUUUAAGAGGUUAAUAAUGUGGUCGAAUGCGAUUGAUAAAGACAAAAGUAAACAAUUACACAACACAAUAAUUUGUUGACGAGGUUUAAUAAAUAUGAGCUACGCCCUCGGGUUGUUAGAGAUUCACUAUAAAAGUAUAAGAGAAAACAAUUAAAAUUCGGUCAAUACUAGAUUAAGAAUGAAUGAUAAAAUAAGUUUAAGGAUGACGGUAGCGUCAAUUUGAUGAUGGAUGUAGAACCCUUUUUUUCUUCUUACUUUCUUAAUAUCAAUGUUGCGUAAGGAAUACGUUUUUUCAGAUUACCAAGAAAUACAACUUGCCAAUCAUACAUGAUAAAAUUGUAGGCUCCAUUAUAACCCCGGUACAAUUUGCAAGCUUGGAGACGUUGGACCUACAAAAUACAAUCAUUAAUGGCGUUUCCUCAGCAGAUAUGUCCAUCCAUGAACUACUGUUCCUGAAAAUUGCAAGUAGCAAUAAAUCUCCAUACCAAAUGUUGUAAAGACCAAAUUCCUCCAUCCAACCCCAACCCCAACAGUCAUCUCUUAACCUAUCUUUGAUAUUGCAUUCAAUUACUGGAGGCCAUUAUCUUUCCCCACCCAAUGAGACUCUUCACAACUUCCUUUCUUGGGCUUUGAAAUUUCAAUGUGCCUAAAAGAACAUAAGAAGCACUCUGAGAAAAGACCUUAGAAGAUUCAAGGUUUUUUCUUAAUCUGAAUUCAUUUCUAUAAUUAAUUCAGAUCUAUAUGUGAUUCCAUCCUUAUUAAUCAGGUUGCUAUGAUUAGAUAUUAUGAACAUUUUUAAGGGCUUCGGUAUUCAAUCAACAUGGGUGUGGCUCUUAAGAGUAAUUAAGAAACUAUUUUAAACAUAUAACAUUAUGUGUUGCAUAUUAUAUUAUUAUUCCUAUAGCAAAGGUGAUAUAUUUUCUGGCUAAUUAAAACUUUAUAAUAGUAGAUGUACCAAAAACAAUAAAGAUUAAUACUAUAACAGUACAAAGAGCAUGUGAGAGUUUUUGGCUCUUACAAUGCACCCAAACAGUUCCCAUACAUUUCCUGUCUCGCCCACAUGAAGCAAGCCCUACAAAGCCAUUCCCAUUGGCCCCUUCAUUUCAUAAUUGAUUUUCGUACAUCAAUGAAGCUCAAGUUUGAAAAACCAUCACUUGCCAAAUUUUUAGUCAAACAUCAAUUUGAUUUAAAUCAAUUUAUUUAUAAAGAAAACAUAGUACACGUACCAUGUUAAUUAGCCAAUUAGAUGAUUGAUUAAUUAAUUAAUCAGCUAGUGAGAGACAAUUAAGGAAAAGCAUCAUCUUCAUGAUGGAAGCAAAAUAAUUGGUGAAAGCAACCUCUCUUAAGUGUAUGAUAUAUAGCCAAGGAUUAAAAUAUCGAUAAUGUCGAGGAUAUUAUCAUUUUUUUUAGAUCUAGAAUAUUUUGGAAUAUAUCCAUACACAUAUCGUAUAAGUAUCGAUAAUAUCAGAAAAUAUCAACAUCGAUAAUUUCUCUCACAAUUCUGCAAUAUUUGGCCAAAAUAAUAUUGAGAUGAUUAAGACAGUGAAAAAUUUGAAGAGUUAUUUACAUUAACACCCUCUGAGGUUUCUUGUGUUUUCACAAAACCCCCUCAGGUCUAAAAAAUUAUACGAACACCCCCUGAUGUUUCAGUUUGUUUUCACAAAACCCUUUUUCGUUGAUUGUUUGUCCAAAAAUUGAUAAUUUUAUUUAAACAAAACUCAUGCAAAUGACAAAAUUAACCUCAGUGAGGUAUAUGCAAUCUAAUCUCAAUGCCCAAUUUUGUCAUUUGGAGAAAUUUUGUGUGUAUAAAAUCAUCAAUCUUUGGAUGAAAAAUCAAUAAAAAGGAGUUUUGCGAAAAUUAUUUAAAACCUUAGGAGGUGUUCUUGUAAUUUCUUAAACUUCAAGGAGUUUUAUGAAAAAGCUGAAAACUUCAGGGGGGUGUUAGUGUAAAUAACUCAAAUUUGAAACUUAUAAGAGCUCUACGUGAUACUAAGUCACUCAUGUAUCUUACCAUGCAAUGUAUAAAUUGUAAAAUAUUAUAAUCAUUAUAAAUAAAUGAUUAUGGCGUGUUUAAUCUUUUUUCAUUAAUUACUACAUAUUUUCUACACUCGCAGAGUCGUAGUGUUUGUUAGCUCGCUAUAUAAUCAACUUAAAUUAGUUAAACCAAUCAGGUAAUACAUUUUCUUCUAAUUUUUUUGUAAUAAAGUAAUAGAUAAUUGACUAAAUAAACAUCCUCCAAAGUUUCACGAAAAAUUUUCAAGUUUUUUUGACAAUUUUCGUGGUUUUUAUUCAAUUUUUAUUGAUAUCGAUAAUUUCUCAAUAUUUCCAUCAAAAUUUCCAUAUUUUUAAAUUACCGAUAUUUCCAAAACCAUUGAUAUUUUAAACCUUGUAUAUAACUAAAUAUAUAAUCAAACACUCUUGCCUUGAAGAUUUCUAGACCAAACGCUGUGUUUUGCAUCCAAACAAACAACUUCUCUUAAAUGGAUUCAACUUUUAAGUAAUGUUUCAAUCAUCAACUAAGUUCUUGUUUGAAUGUGCAAUUUAUAUUGAUUAUCUAACAACAUAACAUAUCAAAUAUUUAACAAAAUAAUAUUAUUUCUUAAAUAAUAAAAAACUAUUAAAAAUAAGAUUCAUUAAGAUUACACCUAUCCCACUUGUAAUUCUAUUUUUUUCUUUUGUGGCCAAAACUAGCCGUACUACAUUAAUAAAAUCGAUGGAGUGGUCAUUAUGGAAAAGCAGGUAAAAAUACUUGCAAGCUGAACUUUCAAGUAUGGACAUCAACAUGUGAGUGUGACUGGUAGGCAAAAGUAAUUGCAUACACCAAUGCAACAAACAACUUUCUUCAAAAUUAGUUUACCAAAAGGAAAAAAAAAAAAAACUUUCCUUAAACUUGGGACAUAAUACUUUUGAGUAUAUGUCAAAGUCUUACAAAUAAAAAUCUUAAUAUGGAUUGUUAGUAAUUAUUUGGUUUAGUGGCAUUUAAUUUUGAGUCUAUUGCAUAAAACUGUGAAUUUAAAUUUUCCAAAUGAAAGUUUGUUAUAUUGUUGAAUGAAAAAGAGGGAGGAGAUAUUUAGUCAUACACCCAUUCUUAGCACUAAUAAUAUAGAUAAACCCUAAACCAUUUAAUUUCUAUAAACAAACCCAAAAAAAACUCAAAAAAUGAUAGCUGACCCUAUUGAGUUUAAUUUUUAAGUAAAUUUAGGUUUUAGCCAUUUUUAAGUUAAUUUUAAUUAUUAAAUUACUUUGAUACUCUAUUGAGUGUUUUGGGCUUUUUUUUAUGAGGUUUUGGCUUUGGGUUUGUUUUAAGAAAUCAAUGGUAGUUUUGUAAUUUAAAAGAAAUUAAAAGCCUUUUUGUUAUGUUGUAAAUAAGCUUUGGGUGUGUUUCUAAAGUCCAUUUCAUAUAAAUUUUUUAAAUAAAAUAAAAUAAAAUAAUUUGGACUCCUAUAUUAAGUAUAAUAGUGAAUCCCAAAAAACAAAAACAAAAAAUGAUGUCAAUGUCAGAGUUAAGAGAAGAACAGAACAAAGGAUUACAAUGUACUUUUAAUUUUAAACAUAAAGUUAUUUUCACUAAAAUUUUUUUAUGUUAUUAAUUUUUUUUAAUACAAAUGAUAUUAAUUUAUUAUGAAAUUAGGGGUCUCUUGUGAAGCCAAAUUUAUUAUGAAAUUAUAAAUAUGAUUGGAUAGCAUGACAAAAAGAAAAAAAAAAAGAAUUAAAAAAACAUGAUACUGGAGGGUCAUACAUGGAAAAAUCCAAAACAAAUUUGGUGAGCUCGUCUAAUCACAGAGGCCUUGCAUAUGUAGAUAAGCGGAUUUGCAGAGGAUUGAGGUCCUGUUGGCUUCGUGAUGACACCUAAGCCGUGGCCAGUGACCACCACCACCAGCUUUGCCCCCACAUCUCGGUUCGCUCCCAUACCAAUACUUUUUCUUUUUUUUCUCUCAUGCCUCUUCUCACUAACAAAUGCCAUUCAUCUUUAACUCAUUCACACAAAUGCCACUCCCAAUCUUUUCUACUCUCUCUCUCUCUUAUAUAUUUUAAGGUUUGCUUUGACCCUCCAAUCCACGUUUAGAAUCCGAAGGCUUUUUCCUCCUCCAUUUUAUUAUACAAAUGAUGACUAUUGUUUCUGCGUUGUGUGAGCAAUCUAGACAAUUUUAGGCAAAUGCUUCCCAUAAUAUGCUUUAUAAUUUGAUAACACCCCUCUCUUCUAUUGACGGAAAUAAGUGAAAACCCUAAAUCCAUGCUAAACUUAAAGAAAACUAUUUAGAUAUAUAUAGUGUGUGAAUAAAACCAACCAUGCAUUUAAAUUCAAAAAGAUAUCCAAAGUCAAGUUUAAUUGAUUAAUAAUAUUAGAGAUUUGACAGACGAUACCACAUGUUGUCAAAUGACGUAUAUGACAUUAUUUAUAACAUUCAUUCUAGUGAUAAUAACUAACAAUUAAAUAAAAGAGGGUCAUGCAUUGUAACGUUUUUAAUUCCCAUGCACAUAAGUCAAGAAAUUAAAAUGUUCAAAAUCAAUCUUAUUUACUUGACAAGUUAUUAAUAUUAGAUAUACGGCCUGGCCAAACUUGUCAACUUGGCAAAUUUCAACAUUUGUUAGGUUCUUCUGGUAAUAGUCCUCCUUGACCUUGACCAUGGACUGAACCCUAUGGACGAUCUCUCAGAACACAGACAAAGAAGCAGUCAAAGCAGCAACUACCUCUAAUAAUAACUAUCCUACAGUGUCAAAAUCGUAAUUAAUCACCAAAACCCAGGGCAUUGCAGAAUGGACAUUUUCGGGACAAUUAGAUUAUGGUAUAUAAGGGUCCCACCUUUGUCUAUUUCAUCUGCACACUGUUUUUAAUCUUUUCGUUCUCUGUCCUGUGGUAGCUUCCAUCACUCUCUCACUCUCAGAGAUUGCACUGAGGAAGACACACAAUACGGCACUCACUCUCGUAGAUCUGAAACCCACAAACCCCAAAAACCCUUAGCUCCGAGGACGAUCUGGUGAGCAUUUUCUCUGCUACACUCUCUGCUUUUCUGUUUUUCAUUUUGUAUGGUUUUUGUUUGGAUAUGGGGGUUGUUUUAGUUCUUGAGGGAUCUGAGUGUUCUGAAAUUUCUUGUUCAUGAUUAAAUGUGGGGGUUUCUGGGUUAUGGGUUGUGGUUGGAUAAUGCAAAUGAGGGUUCUUUCUUGGUGGGUUUUGUGUUCAGCAUGCUCCACUGUGAAGUGAAUUUUGUUAUUGGGGUUUAUAGUUGUGUUUGGGCUUGAGAUUUUUUCCUGAUGAUUUGUUCUUGGUUAUGGAUUUGGAAUGUUGGAUUUAGUGCUUUCAUUUGGUUAAUUAAGUGGGGAUUAGUAUAAUGUACUACUAUGAUUAGUGCUUUGUUUUUGGUGAUGGGAAGAUGAGAGGGAAAAAAGUUAGUAUUCUUGAUUCUUGUGUUCUAUGUCUAGAUUUUUAAGAUCAGAAUCUUUAUUUUGCUUUUUUGACACUCCAAGUUGAAAGAAAGAAAACUUAAAAAAUGGUUCAUUUGUUUGGGUUGCUUUAACUUGGUACUUCGAUUGUAAUUUUUGUUUACUGGGUAACACGAUCUGAUUUGCGUGAUCUGUGUUUAGAACUUCAUUUUUAUUUUAUCAAAAUUUAUUUCCGGGUUGAAGGUAUUAAUAGUUGACCGCCGUAUUUCCAGAACCCAGAAGAUAUAGAGAGGGCAUCUCUGUGUUAUGUUUAUAGAUACCAUAUAAAAAUCACUCUGCUUUUGGCAUUUGAGUUGUUUUAUCUUAUUUUAUGGAAUUUAAAUUUCUAAUGCUCAGCUGAUGGUUGAGCUUAAACAGGGCUACUAUGUAUUUCUAUCGUUUUCUGAGGUUAAUUCAUACUUGUGGUCUUUUAUUAUGCUUGAUCCUUUUUACUGAUUACUUACCUUCUUAUGUGACUGAUGCUGACGGGUGUUUAUACACUAUUUAUGAAAAUGUAUUAAGUGUCUUCUGAACAUUUUCGAUGAUGCAGUCUAGGUGGUGAUUUAACAAAAAUGGCUGUCGUGGAUGCUGAAAACCCUCGUCUUGGAGAAACGACUUGCGGUUCUUUACUGCAGAAACUACAGGUGACUUAUAUAUUUAUCUUUGAUUGUCUGUCUGUUUCUUCAUCACAGCUUCUUUUUAUGUAAUGUGAAGAUUGGAUGUUGAACUAAUGCAUGAUUUAUUGCAGGAAAUUUGGAAUGAAGUUGGCGAGAGUGAUGAAGAACGAGACAAAAUGCUUCUUCAAUUAGAGCAAGAGUGUCUAGAUGUAUACAAGAGGAAGGUCGAGCUGGCAGCAAAGUCAAGGGCACAGCUCCUUCAGGCAUUGUCUGAUGCCAAACUUGAACUUUCCAGUCUUGUAUCAGCUCUGGGAGAAAAAAGUUUUGUCGGAGUUGUGAGUAAUUACAAAUUUUUUCUUCAUCUUAUUAAAAAAGAAAUUAUAUAUUUUUUCUUCAUAUGAACUGAUGAUCUUUUAUUGCUACAUUAAAGCACGUUAAUAGUCUAUCAUUUUGUCUUCUAAGUAAUAAUGAAGUGUUAAUUUGUUUACAGCCCGAGAAGACUUCAGGAACAAUCAAGGAACAGCUUGCAGCUAUAGCGCCAGUACUGGAGCAGCUGUGGAAACAGAAAGAGGACAGGGUGAAGGAGUUUUCUGAUGUACAGUCACAGAUACAAAAGAUUUGUGGAGAAAUUGCUGGGAACUUGAAUCUCAGUGAGAGUCCUGCUGUUGAUGAGUCUGAUCUAUCCCUGAAGAAAUUAGAUGAAUAUCAAUCCCAACUUCAUGAUCUUCAAAAGGAAAAGGUAAAUAUAUCUUAUCCUCAUGAACAUGGCAAAAUGAUUAAUCUGCAAUAAGUUCGUAGUGUUAAUUUCUCAUUUGAUCUGACAGAGUGAAAGAUUGCACAAGGUGCUUGAAUUUGUGAGCACAGUGCAUGACCUUUGUGCUGUGCUUGGGCUGGACUUCUUGAGUACUGUUACAGAGGUCCAUCCUAGCUUAAAUGACUCAACUGGUGUGCAAUCCAAAAGCAUUAGCAAUGAUACUUUAUCUAGGCUGGCUAAGACUGUCUUAGCACUAAAAGAAGAUAAGAAGCAGAGGCUGCAUAAGGUUUUUUUUUUUUCCUUUUUCUUUUUCAUUAUUUGUGUUUGUAGAAAAAUAAUAAUUUAUAUUUCAGAUUAAAUUUGACAUUUAUCUUCACUUUAAAGCUCCAAGAGUCAGCAACACAGCUACUUGAUCUGUGGAAUCUGAUGGAUACCCCUGAUGAGGAAAGGGGAUUCUUUGACCAUGUUACCUGUAACAUAUCAGCUUCAGUGGAUGAAGUGACUGUUCCUGGGGCUCUUGCCUGGGAUCUGAUUGAGCAGGUAUAUAAGCAUAUGAUGUUCAGUGGUUUGUUAAAACAAUUUAUGAUGGCUGUUUACUCAUUUCUCGAUUUUGUUUUGAAGACUGAGGUCGAAGUUGAGCGGCUUGAUCAGCUGAAAUCAAGCAGGAUGAAGGAAAUUGCAUUCAAGAAGCAGUCAGAGCUUGAGGAGAUUUUCACUCGAGCUCACAUAGAAAUAGAUCCAGAAGCUGCAAGAGAUAAGAUUAUGGAACUGAUUGAUUCUGGGAAUGUUGAACCUACUGAAUUACUGGCUGACAUGGAUGAUCAGAUAGCGAAAGCGAGGGAUGAAGCUCUAAGCAGAAAGGAUAUAUUGGACAAAGUUGAGAAAUGGAUGUCAGCCUGCGAAGAAGAGAGUUGGCUUGAGGACUACAAUCGCGUAAUUAAACUCUCCCUGAAAUAUCUACCUACGCAUGAAUGUGAAUUGCUGGCUGGACCUUAUUGUGGAAAACAGAGUUUCAUAUGUCGCACAGUGCUCCCCAUACAUUACGAUAGACUUUUUUUUGUUGUUGUUGUUGAAGAAAGCACCUUCACUAUGCUCCCCGUCCAUUGGAGUCCAACUACCUAGACCUUCUCCAUUGUUCUCUGUGAAUUACUGUAGAUGUCGGACAUGCUAGAAUUAAGUAUUGUAAUUCAACAGUUACUAGAAUGAAGCUACUUGGUAAAUAGGACCUGGGGAGGAUCUAUUAGAAGUCCUACCCAUCUAACCACCUGCCAAAUAUAUAUGAACAUACAGGAAAAUGUAACCAUUUCAUGGAUGGGCUUAGGUGUGGAGUUCUUGGGUUGCAGUCUUGCCUUUUCAGGGUGGUUAGAGUAACCAUGUAGUCCUUUAAAACUAAUAACUGGCCUAGGAGAUUCUAUGCAUAUGACUUUGCAUCUGUGCAACCCAUAUGAAUUUUGCGGAUUUUUUAUACUUGAAUUUUCCAAUUUUAGGCGUUUCAUUGUAACCAACAUUGUCUUGUUGAAACAGGAUGAAAACAGGUAUAAUGCAAGUAGAGGUGCACACCUAAACCUCAAGCGUGCAGAGAAAGCACGUAUUCUGGUUAACAAAAUCCAGGUAAGUGUAGAGGAUACCACGGUUAUGACAACUGUAGUCUUACAGAUGCAGAUUUGACAGAAAGCGAGACGCAUAAGUAAAGGAAGUUUGUAUGGCAUGUACAGUGUAUAUGUGCAUGAUCAAAGAAAAUUAAACAAUCCAUGCUGUCGAUUACCACUCCCUUGACGUGCUUACAAUCCACCCAUUAGUUUCCAAAUUUCUUAUUUUUUUUCGUUUUCUUGGCAAUGCAGCUCUUGUGGACACAUUGGUAGCCAAAACUCGUGGAUGGGAGGAAGAUCGUGGCAUAUCAUUUACUUAUGAUGGUGUUCCUCUCCUUGCUAUGCUAGAUGAAUAUGCCAUGCUUAGGCAAGACAGAGAAGAAGAGAAGCGGAGGAUGAGGGUACGUUUUACUUGAAUAGAUAAUUAAAUGAUUAUUGAUGAUUAUACGAGGUGAUUAAAUGCUCAUUGAUUUUUACAUGAGUUUAGUUGUGUUCCUAAGUAAUUAUGCUUGACAUGACCUAAAUCUAAAUCUGACGUUUUAGUAGCCUUUUUAUUUUGGUUUUUACAUCAGUCUGAGUUCAUUGUCCUCUUGCAUCAAAUGGGAUUAUGUCUCAUGGAUUUUGCAGGAUCAGAAGAAGUAUCAAGAGCUACAACAUACAGAACAAGAAACCAUAUUUGGCUCAAAGCCUAGCCCUGCUCGACCAGUUGGCACAAAGAAGAUAGUAGGUCCUCGUGCAAAUGGAGGUCCAAAUGGAACUCCUGGCAGACGGCUAUCACUCAAUGCUCAUCAAAAUGGAAGCAGGUCUGUAACGAAAGAUGCGAAGAAGGAUCUUAGGCCCGUUGCUCCUAUGAACUAUGUUGAGAUAGCAAAAGAGGAUGCUGCGUCCCACAUUUCUGGCACUGAUACACUUCCGGUGUCACCAUAAUAGUAAGGGAGAUAAUUGUAGGUUACAUCUCUGUCAAAUUUUAGUGUUUUAACUAGUUACUGUUGUAGGGAUAUAAUGUAUGAAACAGUGAGGGUAAAUUGGAGAGUGAACUGUGUGUACCUGUGCAUGUUAUGUUUUAGCAUUCGGAGGCUUUCUAAAUACACGUUGCGUUCUCUGUUCUUCAUGUUUUGGCUGGUAGCUAUUCUGUGUUCGAAAUAAAAUCCCGCCUCUGCAUUCGUGCCAGUAGACUUAUGAAUUUCGGUUUCGUGAAUGUUCUUGUUUCUUUUAUUGUUUUGCUUUACGUGACUCCCAAUCCAUGUUAAACUCGAGAAUGGAUUUCCCUGUCUUGGUUGCAAUGAACCUGGCCUGCACAUUCCUCGUGUACUGGUUAGGUAACUCCUAGCAUUACCGAGAAUUUUUCUUGGCUUAGGCUGGGAAACAUAAAACCAUAGGAACUCGAUGAUAUUCAAAAAAUGAGGAUACCGAUCCUAUUUUUCGAAUUUAUAAUUGUGGCUAGGCUACAAAGUUCUCAAGGGUACGAUACAAAAUUGUAUUGGAAGUUAAAAAAAACGAAGAAAUCAAUCGAUGAUAUAUCUUUCAUUUUCACCCUCAGGGAACUGGCCUCAUGGAUUGGAUAGAUGUAAACAAGGCAACAAGUUGCUUUGUCCUUAUGGGUUUGCAAUUAUUCUUAAUUUGUAUCUAACAACUUUGUUUGCCAAGGAUGGCUUUGUGUCUGUCUACAAAAUUACCUAGUAGGUAAAAACUUGUCCUGGAUAAUCCAAGAGAGAGUUUGUACGAUUGGCCUGAAUUUUUUUUUUUUUGUUACUGGAUUUACUGUGAUCACAACAUCUAUUUCUACAUAUUUGGUAUGACAAAUUGGAAAUGCUGAUUUUGCUCUUCAGUUUUUACACCUCAGAACGAUAGCUUCAAGGAGAUACUUGCCUCAAACAAGAGACAGAGGACAGUCAAAAUUACUUUUAACCCUUAGUUGGGAUUGGAUAUAUGUAGAUAACAAUGAAGUUACCUCACUAAGAAACUCCCAACUAAUAUUGUUGGAGAAAACGAGGAAUCAAAGCAUCAUAUAAAUAUGUGCUCAGUAUAUUUCAACAUAUGCUGAGACCACAUCAAAGUAUCUGUUGUUCCAUUUAUGAGCACUAUACUAUUUUGUAACUCCUAGGAAAAAUUAGAGAAAUGGGUGUGAGUAUUUACUUUUGCUUUGGCCAAAUUUCAAGCCCUCAGAGAUUUGCUAAGGAAGAGUUUGAUGUGUUAGCUUCACAACCUCAGUCAUGGAGUUUAUGUAGCCAAAAUGCUUAUGGGCAGAAAAGAACAUGUGGAAGAAAUUAGUGCAGCCCAAUAAAGAGCAGCAGCAGAUGAAAAUGGUGAAGAAGGAGCUCACUUUAGAAGAGUGGUUCUUAGCUUCAUUGCCGUGCGAAAAAGAUGAUAACAGCCUAUGUAAUAUCAAAGAAGGUGAUUUUGAAAAGAACUGGCUUUAUCCAUGUUUGGGUGGAGAGGAUUCGGAUGAUUUUACCUCCAAGAAUUCAAGGGACAGUUUUUCUUUGUAGAGGCUGUUGACUAUUGAAAUGGUCGAUAGUGGAAAAAGUGAUACACAUGCUCCUUGCUUGUGCAGAAGUGAAAGUAGUGGGAAGGUAAAGAAAAGGGUGAGCUUUAGACUUCCAGAAGAGGCUGAUUGUGUAUGAAUAUGAAUGUAUGUAUAUAUAUAUAUAUAUAUAUAUAUAGGUAUAUACAUUAUACUGCUUGCUUGAUUGCUCCUUGUUCUUGGGCAUUAUGGAUCAAUCUCUAGACACUAUGGGGAUGAUGGAAGAAAUUUAAGAGUUGUUAUCAUCUUUAAAUGAACGUUUCAAUUGCAAUCGUACAGGCUGGCUUAAAUUUAUAAAGUUAACAUUAUGUUCCAAAAAAGAGAGAGUUUAUAAUGGAUUAAUAAUUCUUAAUUAAAAAUGUAAAAUAAUGAAUGAUAUUUUUCUCAAUUACCAUGUGUAUUAGAAAAUGCUUGGAGUGCAAUUUGAAUUAGUUUGAAGACUCAAUGCUCUUAGCAGGGAUAAUAUUGAUUGAGGAAUGCUAUUCACAAUCGCUCAAAAGUGAUAGUCGCAAUACUUGCUAGGCACAUGGAUUGCGACAAUCGGUUUUGAGCGAUUGUGAAUAGCAUUCCUCAUAUUGUUCAGUUAACAAUUAAUAUUAAAGGAUUAGUAAGGCAGCCCAUUUAAUAAAGAAGUAAUAGUUUAAAAAAUCAAAACUUUAUUUGAAAAGAAAGAACACCUUUGUUUAGUUAGCAACUGAAAUAACUACCAUUGCCCUCUAACAACCCAGCACCUUGUAUUAAAAAGAAUUAAAUUGAAGAUAUGGGGAAGAAAGAAAAGUAGAGGUAACUAAGCAAAUGGCAUUGCAAAAGCCAAAAGGGUGUUAGGUCAAAUUGAAACUCCUCAUUCAAACAACUAUACAAAUCACAUGAUACAGACAAAAUAAUAAGCUAUAAAGGAAGAGAAAAGUGAAAAAGGGUUUACUAUAGCUUCAUUUCCCUAAUUCAUUCAAAGGAACACAAAGUCAUAAAGGCCAUCAAGUAUAUUAAUAAAAGGUCACUACACCACAGUCAAUGAUAACACAAAACAAGCUCACACAAGGAGGAGAAAAGAGGAUUGUGUCCCAACCUUUACCUUUUCUUCUCUCUCUUUUGUGUGUUGGAUUCUUUUUCCUCUACGCAACGAAAAUAAGAAAAAGGGCAUACUCCCCCAACUACGCAAGAGAAAGUGAUGCCACUAUGUGAAGGAAUUGUAACUGCUCCAGUAGCUCUUUGGAUUGGCCUGUGCCCCUUUGUUCCACUCUUGCAAACAACUCAUUGCCAAGGUGGUCGCCGAUGUGUGCGUCCACGAGUACUCCGGCGACACUCCUACAGCUGUUGGCAAGGGCUCGACCCACUUCAGCUGCAUCAUCAGGUUGGUUCACUACAAGGGGGCUUCCUCCUUUGAAAAUCUCAAGCUUGUUUAUGGUGAAUGACCCAACAUCUUCCACUACUUCCUUGAAGUCUUGUAAACUUGAGGCAUACACAGGAAUGUUGAAACUGUCACGUUUCUCAUUAGUGAUAAGACCCUACAAAAAAAUUAAUAGCAGAUAGUUUAAUAAUUAAUCCAUAUAUCACAAUUAAUCUUCAAUAAUAGCUAGGCUAAUUACACAAAAGGGCUAAUUUUCACGAAUGUUAAAACUGUUACGUUUCUCAGUAGUGAUAAGACUCAACAAAAAAUUAAUAGCGGAUAGUUUAAUAAUUAACCUAUAGAUCACAAUUCAUAGGCAUAAAGCACUGUCACAUCCCGGAAUUUUGGCUCACAUCACAUGCAACUAACUAGAUCCCAACCUGGUUAAUCAGACUGCUUAAUGUCCUAUUUUUUCAACUAGAUAGGCUAUAAUAAUUGAUGAUCGGGAUUAGCAAAUGAGUUGUAUCAGAUAUCGUCUAAAUGCAAGGCUAUAUAUGAUUGAGGGACAAGAUCUUUUAGGUACGUACAUGCACUGACUUUGUUCAAAAGCAAUUUGAAGUCUUUUUUUUUUUUUUUGGUUUUUUGUUUUUUUGCAUCACCUUGUAGUUCUUAUCUAAGAUAUGAUUAUACUUUUGUGUUA
rnacentral:lncRNA from 1 species